CACUGCCGAGAAAAGCCUCUAGAUAGAAAAUAGGUGCCCGUACCGCAAACCGACACAGGUAGUCAAGAUGAGAAUUCUAAGGUGAGCGAGCGAACUCUCGUUAAGGAACUCGGCAAAAUGACCCCGUAACUUCGGGAGAAGGGGUGCUCUUUAGGGUUAACGCCCAGAAGAGCCGCAGUGAAUAGGCCCAAGCGACUGUUUAUCAAAAACACAGGUCUCUGCUAAACCGUAAGGUGAUGUAUAGGGGCUGACGCCUGCCCGGUGCUGGAAGGUUAAGAGGAGUGGUUAGCUUCUGCGAAGCUACGAAUCGAAGCCCCAGUAAACGGCGGCCGUAACUAUAACGGUCCUAAGGUAGCGAAAUUCCUUGU
rnacentral:rRNA from 1 species